UAAGAAGGAACACCAAUGGCGUAGGCAGGUUACUGGGCUGUUUCUGACACUGAGGCACGAAAGCGUGGGGAGCGAACCGGAUUAGAUACCCGGGUAGUCCACGCCGUAAACGAUGGAUACUAGCUGUUUGGGGUAUCGACCCCCUGAGUAGCGAAGCUAACGCGUUAAGUAUCCCGCCUGUGGAGUACGAUCGCAAGAUUAAAACAUAAAGGAAUUGACGGGGACCCGCACAAGCGGUGGAUCAUGUUCUUUAAUUCGAUGAUAACCGAUAAACCUUACCAGGACUUGACAUCCUUGGGAGCACUACGAAAGUAGAGUGUGCCUUUUGGAACCAAGUGACAGGUGAUGCAUGGCCGUCGUCAGCUCGUGUCGUGAGAUGUUAGGUUAAGUCCUUCAACGAGCGCAACCCUUGUGAAUAGUUGUAUUUUUCUAUUCAAACUGCCCCGGUAACGGGGAGGAAGGAGGGGAUGACGUCAGGUCAGUAUUUCCCUUACGUCCUGGGCUAGAAACGUGAUACAAUGGCUAGUACAAUGCGCCGCGAAGCCGCGAGGUGAAGCAAAUCGCAUCAAAGCUAGUCCCAGUUCGGAUUGGAGGCUGAAACUCGCCUCCAUGAAGUCGGAAUCGCUAGUAAUCGCAGAUCAUCAUGCUGCGGUGAAUACGUUCCCGGGUCUUGUACACACCGCCCGU
rnacentral:rRNA from 1 species